AGGAACCUGGAUUGAAUGGUGAUACACAGUGUCAGGAAGGCUAAGGUGUUGAACAACAGUAUACACUUGUUCAACAGCAUAGACUUAAUGUCUGUUAGCAGUUAUAUAAUAACGUGUGUGUUGACAGUCAUUGCAAAUUCUGAAACAAUUAAAAUGUCUUACAUCAGAAAUAUGGAGAUCAAAUUAUCCAUUACUGGAAAUUAUCAUUAAAGGAAAUCAAUUGACUGGAUAGACCUCAUAUUUACUCCAAAUGACAACACAUGACGAGUUGUCAUCGAUGAAUUAUAAGGAAGUUGGCAAGCGGUUAUUCCAUAAACAAAAAUUAGUCAAACGAAUAUAAUCCAGGAUUGAGACCACAGUAAAAAAUAAUUAGUUUUCCUAAAAGUAGGAAAUGAAACCACAAUCUAAAUGCUUAUACCUUCUUGGAAAAACGAGUAGCAAGGAUUUCAUAUGAGAUGGAGG